rnacentral:rRNA from 1 species
CCCGCUGAACUUAAGCAUAUUAGUAAGCGGAGGAAAAGAAAACAACCGUGAUUCCCUGAGUAGCGGCGAGCGAAACGGGAUCAGCCCAGCACCGAAUCUCGUACUCGAUUGCAGCGGGUACCGAGAAAUGUGGUGUUAGGGAAGGGUCACUUUUGCCCCAUGUUUACGCACGCCGACGUCCAAAUUCGAUCGAAUGCGGUUUCCUCGUGCCCAUAGAGGGUGCAAGGGCCCGUAGGACCGGUGCGCGGCACGUGGGAGCGGCCCUUCCCCUGGAGUCGGGUUGUUUGAGAGUACAGCCCAAAGUUGGUGGUAAACUCCACCAAAGGCUAAAUACGACCACGAGACCGAUAGCGAACAAGUACCGCGAGGGAAAGUUGAAAAGAACUCUGAAGAGAGAGUUCAAGAGUGCGUGAAACCGCUCAGGGGUAAACGAAUGGAAUUGCCGAAGCUCGAACGAGGAGAUCUCAGGGUGCCCGCUCCGGGCGGUCACACGAGGGCGGGCGGCGGUGCAUGCGGUGGUCUCCCUCGGGAUCGAUUGCCGCUGUCCGUCGCUGUCGGCCGUCGUUGAUGGGCCAGCGCGGGCGCUCGUACGGCUCCUCUAGUAGGACGUCGCAACCUCUCGGGAUCUUGACCGAUAGGCUUUCGUGCGGCCCUGGGGUUGUGCUUCCCUGUCUGUUCAGAUCGGGUCCUCUUCGGAGUUGAUGCGGUCGGCAGGUUGGGGCGGGGCGCGUUCUUCGGGGCGCGUCCUGUUUCAGGCCCUUCGGGUGAGCCGUUGUUUGCCACCCGAGAGUUGUCCUUCGAGCGCGUGCCCGUCCGAUCGAUGCUGCGCUUGCGCGGGGUCUCGGCGAGCAGCGUCGGCGGCAGCUGUUCCUUGGCGUGCGAUGCGGUCUGAGUGCUCUGCGCUCCCUGUCGUGCGUCCCGGGCGCAGGUCCCUGCCGUCGUCGCCUGUUUUGCGGCGCGCGCUCGAGUUUGCGACGCCAUCCGACCCGUCUUGAAACACGG